GUCACCCAAACUUUCAUCAGGAUGAAAGUUUGGGUGACAUUCAUCAGGAUCUUUUAAAAAUUUUGAAAAUAAAAGUUACAUUUUAUUUUUACUACCUUUUGGAGUCCUGGGAGUGCUAUCUCUACGCUAUCUGGUUAUACUAUGCUGACAAGCACUGGGCAAAGACACCAGUAAGUUGGAGUGCAAGACUUAUUUUUUGGUGUG